CCCUAACGAGCCACGUUUAUUCUUGAGAGUAGCAAAAUGGACCCCCAGCUUUGAUGAAAAACAGACAAAACGUUCUGAUUCAGAAGUUUGAAGCAACAAGCUUGGACUUGUAGGUGAGACAGAAGAUCUGGACCAAUGCCAAGCAAAGGACCAGUAGAUUCACGUGGGCAUAAAGGGAAACAAAGUGAAAAAAGAGCUACAUGUCACUCCCUUUCAUAAUGCUAUCAUUCACAAAAGAUUAUGAACAAAUCAGGAUGUUCUCCUUGACACUGAGUUGUCCGGCUGAGCAAGUUUCAGUGUGAGCAGGAAAUACCAUUGUCCUCACUCCCGCUGUUCAGCUGCCCUGGCAGCUCUCCUGGUUUCUCCUGCAUGAGGUCAUAUAUUUAGUAGCAUGAUGUCUUACCUAAGAGUUCUGAGACAAAGAGAGACAUUUCUACAUUUAUCAUUCAUAAAAGCUACCAGAAAGGGUUUUAGGGUCUUAUACAAUAAGCAAUGGAUUUAGAGGAUGGUGUACAACCUCUUGGCUCGUCUGCACUGAAAGAAAAUAAAUUGUCUAGGGCCAAGUGUUAAAUAUGUAAUAUAGUCAAUGUAUAUAAGUAGCAAAGGUUUCUUUAUUUUUUAGCUCGGUGGUUCUGCCGCCUGCCUCGCAAGCACAAGGAUCCAAGAUCAAUCCCCGGUACCAAAAAAAACCACGAAACAUUUUUUAUCAUAACAUUAAGAAAUGAGGAUAAUCAAGAGAGAGAUCUGGAUCAAGUUACUUUAUCCUUCUGAAUGAUCAUCUUCUGUGAUUUUUAUCACCAAAUUGCUACGAAGAUUGCUUGGCAUAAUGUAUGACAGUGUCAGUUGCUUUCCAUUUCCUUCUUGACCAUUUAGUUUCUGGGAAAUUUACCAGUGUGUUGUAAAAGCUC
rnacentral:lncRNA from 1 species